UGCUAAAUGAAUCUAAUAUUUAGUUAGCUCUGCCCAGUGAUGACUAGAUUUAACGGCCGCAGUACACUGACUGUGCAAAGGUAGCAUAAUCAUUUGGCUUUUAAAUGAAGUCGGGUAUGAAUGAGUUAAUGGGGAUUUACUGUCUCAAUUUUUCUACUUACAAUUUACUGAGAAAGUGAAAAUACUUUCAAUUCUGUUAAAAGACGAGAAGACCCUAUAAAUUUAUAAUCAAUAGUAUUUUUUUACUAUAAUUUUUUGUUGGGGCAACAAGUUAACAAAACUUAAUUUUACUUAAAACUAAAAUAUGUGUCGUGUAUUAUCAGUAAAAAUAAAAUUACUUUAGGGAUAACAGCAUAAUUUUACUAUUAAGAUUGUGACCUCGAUGUUGGACUAGGGACUUGUUAAGUUAACCAUUUAAUAAGAAAGUUCUGUUCGAACAGUUUUUACCU
rnacentral:rRNA from 1 species